UACGAAGGGGGCGAGCGUUGUUCGGAUUUACUGGGCGUAAAGGGCGCGUAGGCGGCGCGAGAAGUCGAGUGUGAAAGCCCCGGGCUCAACCUGGGAAUUGCGCUCGAUACUCUUGUGCUUGAGUUCGGGAGAGGAGCGUGGAAUUCCCAGUGUAGAGGUGAAAUUCGUAGAUAUUGGGAAGAACACCGGUGGCGAAGGCGGCGCUCUGGACCGAGACUGACGCUGAGGCGCGAAAGCGUGGGGAGCGAACAGG
rnacentral:rRNA from 1 species